rnacentral:siRNA from 1 species
CGUCUUAGGCGGUUGCAACUGA